AAUAGAUCUAGAAGCAGCCACUUUUAACUUUUUACUUCUUACUUCCUUAACAUAUCCUUACAACCACAAAAGCAUAUUUAUACUACCCCUUACUUAUCUUAACCUACUUGUUUUUCCAUCACCCUAAAACCAAUGCCCAUUACACAUAAGGCCUUAAUUGAGUUUAUGGCCUAAUGGCCUUUUACUUGUUUUCAUUAUUACAAAACACAAACUCUCUUUGUUGUGACUCUUCUUCUUCUUCUUCUUCUUCUACACGAUCUCUUCUUCCUCUUUCUCCCUCUACACCUGCUUGUGAAUCUCUCUGCUCCCAAUUACCUUGGUACCUUCUUCCUCCAGUAUCUCUUGUUUCUUAUUGAGCAAAGGAUCAACUUCCAACACUCCCUCUUGAUCCUUUUGCUCAAUCCCCAAAAUCUUACCAAAGAAAUUGAUUCCCUUUGUUUCUGAAGUUUCUUUGAUUUGGUUCUUCAUUUCUGGUCCUAUGCCUCUUAGAACAUCAGCAUAGCCCACUGAGGUCUGAACCGUUCUCUUGUACUGCAUGUACUCGUCUGAGUGAUUCUGGGCAUCGAUCUUCUUCUUGUCCCUUGCAUGAAUCCCCUUGUCGAGAUCUACAAAACUCAUAAGUCCCUUGUGCUUGUCAUGUGGUUCUGCAAUCUGAGUCUUCUUCUUCUGCAUAUUGGUCUCAUUGCAAGUCCAAGCAUCAAUAUCCAUUUCAUGUAUCUGUCUGCAGCAACUUCCACACAAUCUCCAUCUCCCUCAUCAGAUGUGAUGAUCUCUGGUCCAUACACUUCAGGAUGGGUGAUCUAUGGAGUCAUCAGUCUGGACCUUGCUCUUGUUAGUCUCUUCUGGUUUUGAUGAGCUGCUUGCAACCCUUUAUGUUCCUUCUUAGUCUCAACAUAAGCAUCAUAUACAUCCAACAGCUCUUCCAUGCUCGGUGACUUGUUCUUCCUCUGGUUGAAAUUCUCUUCACAUAACACCUUGAGAUCUUCAGUUUCAUGCACCAUGAUUGCAGCAUCCUCCUCUCUCUGAAUCACAACAGGUCCAGUAUCUCCAGUUUCUUCCUCAUACUCUCUAGGUCUUGUUUCUGCCUUCUCUUGAGUGAUUAUGCAUCCUGAUGUGUUGAACAUCAUCCCAUAACCACUUCUCGUCAGCUGAGGAACACUUAGGUAGUUGUGUUUCAAGCUAGCAUAGAAAACCAGCUUUCUUCUUUGGCCAUGUGACACGUAGCUCCACUGUCUAUCAACCAGGAAGUUGAUUACUUCAGCCACAGUUACAACUGCAAGAUCCUUUGUCUGUUCUAUGACUCCCACAUAGGAGUCAAACCUUUCUUGAAGUUGUAGAAGUUUGCUCUCAGCCUCUGUAGCAUUAUCAUGGAACCUUUUGAGUCACCUAGGAACCUUAGUUGAAGUACAUCUCAUGCAUCCUUUGAGGUUUCAGUGACAGAUAAGUGACUACUGAAUAUUUCUUCAGAAACAGCACUAAACAACAACUGUAAAGCAUUUUGAUCCUUCAUCUCUAACUCUUCCCAGUCUAUCAUUCUUUUCUUUUCAUCUUGUGUGGGAGUAGUUAACUUAGGUGAUAUUGGGAUACCUUCUGUAACUACCUUCCAUAAACCCUUAGACUUAAGUAUAGCCUUCAUCUUUAUAACCCAUAGACUAUAGUUCUUUCCAUCAAACACUGGAACCACUUGAACAUUCUGCAUUUUUAUCUUACGACUAGUUGUAGUCUUAGAGUUUACCUGAUUUUUGCUUUCCUUUUUUUUUUCUUUUCUCGUUUCCUUGUUGUGCUCUUGUGAACCAGCUUGUGCCUCUAACUUUCCUUUGUUUCUUGUGCAGGUUCCAGGUCACCAAGAACUUUGAAGCUCUGAUACCAUGUUGGAAAUAGAUCUAGAAGCAGCCACUUUUAACUUUUUACUUCUUACUUCCUUAACAUAUCCUUACAACCACAAAAGCAUAUUUAUACUACCCCUUACUUAUCUUAACCUACUUGUUUUUCCAUCACCCUAAAACCAAUGCCCAUUACACAUAAGGCCUUAAUUGAGUUUAUGGCCUAAUGGCCUUUUACUUGUUUUCAUUAUUACAAAACACAAACUCUCUUUGUUGUGACUCUUCUUCUUCUUCUUCUUCUUCUUCUACACGAUCUCUUCUUCCUCUUUCUCCCUCCACACCUGCUUGUGAAUCUCUCUACUCCCAAUUACCUUGGUACCUUCUUCCUCCAGUAUCUCUUGUUUCUUAUUGAGCAAAGGAUCAACUUCCAACAGAAGUUCUCCUCGUCUCCACCUCCUGCUAUAGAGCUCAAAAUGCUUUAAUUGACUCAUUGGCUCAAGUGGCUGGCUAUAGAUUGUCUUGAGUGGUUAAAGAUACUUUUGAUUCUGCGAUAAUAAUUUCCUCUAUUUAAAUUGUAUCUUGUUCCUUCUUCAUGUAGACUUCGUUUUCGAUUUUUAGAUGGUUAGGUUUUGAUUUGUAAAUCUCUAACAUGCACAACUCUUGCCUAGACAAUUGCUCGUA